CAUAAUAUAAAAAUUACUCUCGACUUGCAUAAUUGUUCAAUGCAACUUUUAUGUCUACUUUCAUUUAACAACAAAGUGAUCUUUGGAAAAAAGAGAAACAUAACAAUACAUCAAGAAUUAACAAGAUCAAAACUUUCAGGACUACUGAUUCAUUCUUACAUGAACAAUAUAUACCAUGGUAUAUCAUCUAAUAUGAAAGGCAUACAAAUGACUCAUCCUAGCAAUUAAUCUCAUACAAAAUGAACCCUUUCAAACAAAAAGGGUGGGGGGAAGAAAGUCAACCAAUGGCAAGGUCAAAACCCAGCCCUCGAACUAUGUUCCAAUCCCCUUUUGUACUAUUCUCAAUAAGUGAAACCACCAAUCCUUCGGAGUCACUUUAAUAAUUGAAACUAUAAAAUAUACUACUAAAAUUCAAUUUUAAUUAAUUGAAAAGAAAAUCUUCUUUUGAAAACAAAUUUACAAAGUGCUUCUUCAAACUAGGUACCUUUUUAUUCCCUAAGGAGAAAUAAAAAACAAACAUGAAGCCAUUUUGACUCCCCGAGAAAUUGAAUUAGCACACGAAGAAAAAUGCUAAUCAAUAACAUUGGCAAACAUACCCAAUUAAAUUGAAUCUUCUUUACACAUGUUGAAACACUAGUAGAAGCUGUCAUUAGUAAUAUCAUUGAAAUAUAAUUGAACAUUUAGACAUACAGAAUUAGUUAAAAAAAUAUGAAACAACAGUAGAUUACUUCACUAUUCCUAAGAUAUUGUAAGACCACAAAGAUAACAAAUUAAAAUAACAAGAGUUCAAUCUCUAAUUUCGUACCAUUUUCAUUCUAGCUAUGAAUUAUUGUUCAUAUCAUUUUUUUAUUUACUCCUAUGAUUAAAGAAAACUGUAACAAACAUAUUAAAAUCCUUCGAAUGAAAAAUUAAAGAUAGAAACUCAAGAAAAAAAAAUGGAAAAAGAAUGAAAAAUUAGAGAGGUUGCAAUAAGUGACUGAACAAGGAUAACAUUUAUAUCAGGAAGCAAACAAAAUGUUCAAGCAUAACAAUUUAAGAAAUAUUAAGGAGCCAGAAACAAGGUCAUCACAGCUAAUCCAAAUAAUCAAAAUCAUAUCUCAAUCCAUAAACAAUGACACAACAUAAAAUUUGAGGAAAAAGAGAAAGUGCUACUAGAUGAAGCUCUGGAGAGUGGAGAUUGAAAUAGAAAUUGAAAAGCGGAGAUGCCAAAUUAAUUUGACAUCACUUCCAAAUUAUCCAUCGCCGUGUAAGUCACCACCCAUUAGCAGCAUUUCUUUUUUUUCACAAACGUAACACUAAAGACAACGUUAUAUUUAAUAAAAAAUUAAAAAAUUUUGAUUUUAUAGCUUAAAAAAAUAAAGUUCUGUUAAAUAUUUCAUUUAGCAGCAGUUUUGCCCGCCUAAAUGAAAAAUUAUUCAUUUCAUUUUAAUUUAGUUAUGUUAGUAAAUUAAAUUUAAUAUAAUUAUACUUAUUUUAUAUUUGUAUUCUAAUGCUAUUUAUUUUUUUAAUNNNNNNNNNNNNNNNNNNNNNNNNNNNNNNNNNNNNNNNNNNNNNNNNNNNNNNNNNNNNNNNNNNNNNNNNNNNNNNNNNNNNNNNNNNNNNNNNNNNNCACUUGAUUUAUUAUUUAGAAAGUUGUAACUAUAUGCCAUGCUUAAAAUAUAUGAUGGUAAAUAUAAUAAAUACAGCAUUAUUUAGUUGUACUCAAAAUAUAAUUUUUCUUGUGGGUGCCAUCUGGUCAAGGGUUGGAACCCCACUCACAUGGAUGAUGAGGAAAUUGAUUGUCACUAUACUAAGGAAUAAAAAAAUAAUAAUUAUCUACGUUACAUUAGUAAUUACAUUAUGAAUUUAGGUCAUUAAACUCAUGGGGCAUAAUUAUCUAAAAAGACAUAUAUAAUCGUUUAUGAAAAUAUGGUAUAUGUCCCGAGUUAAAUCAUGUGGAAGGUUGUUGUUAACAAUUAUAUUUGGGCUCUCACAUGCCCCCACCUUUAAAAUGAUAUUAAUACAUUAAUAAUACCAAUAGUUACAUUACUAAAAUUAAAAGAAUGUCAUAUGUGUAGAUUAUAGACUAUGCACAUUCUAAUAAUAAACAUCCAAUAAUGAUAAUAAAGAAUUAAAUAUCAUAGUUGAGUUUAUUUUCAUCAAUUUAAUAUUGGCUACCAAAGUAACAAUGAUGGUUACUAACAACAUCAUAAAACAAAAAUUCAAUAUUAUAAAUCAUUCAUUACGAUAUUACUAAAAGCAAUAGAUAAAAAAUUAACAUUUCAUUUAAAAUAUAGAAUUUUCGAUUUUAAGUAUUCAAGAAAAUGUUGUAACUUGAAAACAUUGAAUAAAUGUAACCAUAAAAAUAAUCUAGCAUAAAAGAAUAAAUUAAUUAAUUAAUCAAUUCACAUAAAGUUUGUAUGAAUUAAUUUCCUAUAUGUAUUGAGAGAUUGAUUUUUUCCAAAUAUUUGAAAAUAAAUA
rnacentral:lncRNA from 1 species